AAGCAUUCUAAUCAGGAAGCCAAGAGCUAAUCAGGCAGAUGAGCGACGUUUGUAUCCUAACGAAGUGGGGAUGGCCAUGCAUUAUUAAUAAACCGAGGGCUGGUGGCAUGGCGUGUCUAUUAAUAGCACAAGCUAGAUGGACCCCAGUCGUGUCAUGAUGAAUGCAAAGCUCAGCACCUUUGGAAAGGGAACCUGUGUGUGGGAGAGGGGCUGGCACUGAAGUUAGCUGAACUGGUUCACAAGAUCUUUUGGUCAGACUUCCAGAUUUGACAGGGUAGGGAUGUGUGCAUGUGGGAGCACAGUGGGUUGGAAGAGCAUCAGGCCACUGAGACCAAGUGCAGCCUUGUUUCUGGAGAAACCUGCCUUUGUCUUUGUGUUGUGAGGCAGGCUGGGACUGCAGCCUAGAUCCUACUUUGCAAAUCUGAGCAGUGGUUUCCAAGGGCACGUGGAGGGAUCAGUGCAAAUGCGUGCAGGCCCAUACUUAGGAAGGUAACAAUUAGGAGAUGUCCCAUUUGGGGAACUAGAGGAACUAUGGGGUAGGAUACUAAUGAGAGGCCCAUCAGCCCAAAAUGGCAGCUCCCUGAGAGAAGGCCAGACUCCAGAGGGACUUCCAGCACUCUCUACUGGAGUAGACAUGGAUGGCUUCUCCAGGAUCAACAUUAGAACAGUAUCAAGGAAUGUAAGAUUAUAGGUGAGUAUGAAGUGUGUUUUAAGGUACAAGGUUUUCCAGGCUGUUCCUUUUCUUUGUUUAGGAAUGAAGUUAAAAUAAAUGAAUUCACUGCUUGAAAGUGAUGGUGUUACCCUGCAGGACAAUCAGUCUAGAGCCUGAUCUGACAAGAAGGCAGAAGAUUGGUGCUGAUGCUGAGCCGCCUGAGGAUGCUGCAAUUCUAUAGGACAGUCCUUCCUGGAGGCUUGGCUAUGGAACAAAUCAGACGCGCACAUCCCCUCUGAACUCUGAGUGGGGUCCGGGACAGUGAGCGGCCAUCUUGAGUGUCUGCUGUAUCCAGAAACUAUGGAAGUGGAAAAUACCUGACCGUCUUGACAGUUCUACAAGUGCAAUCCCUAACAUUGUCUAUCACGCCUGCACAGACACGUGUCUAUUGUAGAAUCACAAAGGAGCCAGCCACAGCCCUUUCAGUUCCAAAAGGCUGACCACCCGGAGCUUUCUUCUUAUAGCUGGUCGAGCUAGCAGCCCUUUGGCUCACACCUUCUCACUUAUGAGUGGUGAGCUAAGAUGUGUUUAAACUGCAGUAACAUUUACUCCCACCGGAACAGCAGAGAAGGAAGUCGCACGCAGCUGUUGGGGAGGAGGGUCGAAAACAGGAAGAUGGCGUUUUCUCCCAGUACUUUCAUGGUUGAUGAAUGAGAUCUGGGUUUCAGAGGAUAAAAAUCUCAAUUCUGAGGAAUUGGUAUUGCAUGGAUAUUUCUCAUGAAUAAUUCAAAUACUGACCUCAGACCUGUGUAUAUGGACGUACAAACACUAAGGGAGCUAAAAAUAAAACAAAGAAGCAGAGAAAGAAAAGGCGUGUUAACCGCGGCGAUCCAGCAUCAGUGUUCGUGAUGGUUAACUGAAGGGCCCGGAUAGCUGAUAAACAUGGUCUCUGGGUCCAUCUGGAGAUGAGCAGUGACCAAAUCACAGCACAGAGAAGAUCUGCCUUCCGGAGGGCACCGCCCAAUCUGUUGAACGGGGCUGUGAGGGCGGCAAUGGGACAAGGUGACCUUUGCCAGAUGUCAG
rnacentral:lncRNA from 1 species